UAUUUUAUUUUAAUUUGUAUUAACAAACCAAAGCAGCGAAACAUAUAUCCCAAAUUUAUAACUAGUCACCUUUUUAUACCAUGAUGCUGCAGCCCUGAAACUGACCGAUGUUGCAUCUUUCCUCUGCAGAGCCAAACCAAUCUCGGGCCCAAUCCCUAUCCAGUCCGGUCCGGACCGGCUGGCUUUGGUCAUGAGUCCCUAGUGCCCAGUGCCCGGUGCCUGGGCCCUGAUGAUCAUGACGCUGCUAAGUGUGGCCGGUGGUGCCCAGCAUGGGGCAGGGGCAGCCGGUUCAGUCUGUGGUGCUGUCCCCCCUCCUCAGCCCUCAGCGCUUGUUUGCAACAAGUAACGCGCGGAGGAAUCUGUAUUUGUCGGGCCAAAGAGUUGCUUACCUGCGGAGGCCGAGCUACCUGUGUCCAGGUAGGCGUAUGCAUGUGUGCCUGUGCCCUAUCCACAUCCUUCGUCUCUGCAGUGGAUGCAGCAGCCAGCGGUCAGCGAAGGCAGCGCAGCAUCGAACCAUCAUUAUAUUCAGGUUUUGAUGCUCCUCAUCCCCAUCCAGCACGCGAUAAAUCUCCGGCUUACAAUCAGGAGAAAUGCUGCCAGAACAAAAGCCCACAUGUCCAUUGCGUUGCCUUCGGCUCGCCGGUGAUUUGAAUAGCCACAGUUCUAGUGCCACAAAAAGAGCGAUGCUGCCAGUGGUCCCUGACCCUCGCCGUAAUCAAAGACGCCCAGUGAAUCAACCGAGGAGGGGGGUCUACUUUCGUAAAACCCCAACUCGACUUGCUCAUUAUUUUGCCGCUUUUUGGCUGGUCAUCGCUCUCAAGUGGCUCAUUCGGGUCGAGAUUGAUUCGAAAGAAAGGUGCAGAGAAAGUGUUACAACAAGACAGAAACCAAUCCUCGACUAUCAGAUACCCGUUACUCAGCUAGAGGAAAACGCAAUUUUGAACACAAAACAAAAAGAAAAAACUCGUAUCGUUUAAUUUUAGUAAUUGUAAUUUAAUAAUUAAAAGGACUCAUAUUCUCAUUUAGGGUUA